rnacentral:rRNA from 1 species
AUUGAACGCUGGCGGAAUGCUUUACACAUGCAAGUCGAACGGCAGCACGGACUUCGGUCUGGUGGCGAGUGGCGAACGGGUGAGUAAUGUAUCGGAACGUGCCCAGUCGUGGGGGAUAACGUAGUGAAAAUUACGCUAAUACCGCAUACGAUCUAUGGAUGAAAGCGGGGGAUAGCAAGACCUCGCGCGAUUGGAGCGGCCGAGAUCAGAUUAGGUAGUUGGUGGGGUAAAGGGCCACCAAGCCAACGAUCUGUAGCUGGUCUGAGAGGACGGCCAGCCACACUGGAACGGAGACACGGUCCAGACUCCUACGGGAGGCAGCAGUGGGGAAUUUGGGACAAUGGGCGAAAGCCUGAUCCAGCCAUUCCGCGUGCAGGAUGAAGGCCCUCGGGUUGUAAACUGCUUUUGUACAGAACGAAAAGGUUUCUACUAAUACUAGGAGCUCAUGACGGUACUGUAAGAAUAAGCACCGGCUAACUACGUGCCAGCCGCCGCGGUAA